GCGGACGGGUGAGUAACGCGUAGGAAUCUACCUGGUAGUGGGGGACAACAUUCGGAAACGGAUGCUAAUACCGCAUACGCCCUACGGGGAGAAAGGAGGGGAUCUUCNGAACUUUCGCUAUCAGAUGAGCCUGCGUAGGAUUAGCUAGUUGGUGGGGUAAAGGCCCACCAAGGCGACGAUCCUUAGCUGGUCUGAGAGGAUGACCAGCCACACUGGGACUGAGACACGGCCCAGACUCCUACGGGAGGCAGCAGUGGGGAAUAUUGGACAAUGGGGGCAACCCUGAUCCAGCCAUGCCGCGUGUGUGAAGAAGGCCUUCGGGUUGUAAAGCACUUUCAGUGGUGAGGAAAGGGUAACCGCUAAUAUCGGUUAUCUGUGACGUUAGCCACAGAAGAAGCACCGGCUAAUUCCGUGCCAGCAGCCGCGGUAAUACGGAAGGUGCG
rnacentral:rRNA from 1 species